ACGUAGGGUGCAAGCGUUGUCCGGAAUUAUUGGGCGUAAAGAGCUCGUAGGCGGUUUGUCGCGUCUGCUGUGAAAACGCGAGGCUCAACCUCGCGCCUGCAGUGGGUACGGGCAGACUGGAGUGCGGUAGGGGAGAUUGGAAUUCCUGGUGUAGCGGUGGAAUGCGCAGAUAUCAGGAGGAACACCGAUGGCGAAGGCAGAUCUCUGGGCCGUAACUGACGCUGAGGAGCGAAAGCGUGGGGAGCGAACAGGAUUAGAUACCCUGGUAGUCCACGCCGUAAACGUUGGGCGCUAGAUGUGGGGACCAUUCCACGGUUUCCGUGUCGCAGCUAACGCAUUAAGCGCCCCGCCUGGGGAGUACGGCCGCAAGGCUA
rnacentral:rRNA from 1 species